UGGGGAAUAUUGCACAAUGGGCGCAAGCCUGAUGCAGCCAUGCCGCGUGUAUGAAGAAGGCCUUCGGGUUGUAAAGUACUUUCAGCGGGGAGGAAGGUGUUGUGGUUAAUAACCACAGCAAUUGACGUUACCCGCAGAAGAAGCACCGGCUAACUCCGUGCCAGCAGCCGCGGUAAUACGGAGGGUGCAAGCGUUAAUCGGAAUUACUGGGCGUAAAGCGCACGCAGGCGGUCUGUCAAGGCGGAUGUGAAAUCCCCGGGCUCAACCUGGGAACUGCAUCCGAAACUGGCAGGCUUGAGUCUUGUAGAGGGGGGUAGAAUUCCAGGUGUAGCGGUGAAAUGCGUAGAGAUCUGGAGGAAUACCGGUGGCGAAGGCGGCCCCCUGGACAAAGACUGACGCUCAGGUGCGAAAGCGUGGGGAGCAAACA
rnacentral:rRNA from 1 species